GGCAGGGGGCGAGGCCGCCAGGCUUGUUAGCAUCCGGCGGGCCCAGGCGGCCGCGGCGCCCCCUGCCGGCCGCGGAGGGCGCGCCUUGGAGGGAGAGGACUUUAGGUGACGCCGCCAGGAGGCGAAAUUUCACCUGCCAGCAGCUCUGGAGGUCAAAAGAAAUGAGACUGCUGGGCUAAGAUCAAGGUGUCAGCAGGGCUGUAUUCCUUCCCAAGGCUCCAGGGGAGAAUCUGUUCACUUGCCUUUCCCAGCUUCUAGAGGUUGCCUACAUUCCUUGGCUUGCGGACCCUUCCUCCAUCUCCAGAAUCAGUAACGAAAGAUCCAAAGCCAUAUCCUGGCUGAGUUGGCUGAGUUGAGCAGGACACUGACAAGGAGGCUGCUGAGCCUGCAACUCGACUGUUCUGUUUGAGGAGCUCUGUGCUUUAUCAUAGAAAUGGAUCUGAGGUGGGGUGUUGCUUUGUCUUGUGAUCGCAGCUCACGGCAGCCUUGGACUCGUGGGCACGAGCAAUCCUCCCACUUCAGCCUCCCAAGUAGCUGGGACCACAGGUACAUGCCACUGCACCUGGCCUAGUAUUCUCUAUCAAAUACUUAUUCAACAGUUAAAAUCUAUAUAGACCUUUGAGAUAGGAUAAUAAAAUAUUAUAGCUUGUAAUAAUUUUUU
rnacentral:lncRNA from 1 species